rnacentral:rRNA from 1 species
AUUGAACGCUGGCGGCAGGCCUAACACAUGCAAGUCGAGCGGAUGAAGGGAGCUUGCUCCUGGAUUCAGCGGCGGACGGGUGAGUAAUGCCUAGGAAUCUGCCUGGUAGUGGGGGAUAACGUCCGGAAACGGGCGCUAAUACCGCAUCCGUCCUGAGGGAGAAAGUGGGGGAUCUUCGGACCUCACGCUAUCAGAUGAGCCUAGGUCGGAUUAGCUAGUUGGUGGGGUAAAGGCCUACCAAGGCGACGAUCCGUAACUGGUCUGAGAGGAUGAUCAGUCACACUGGAACUGAGACACGGUCCAGACUCCUACGGGAGGCAGCAGUGGGGAAUAUUGGACAAUGGGCGAAAGCCUGAUCCAGCCAUGCCGCGUGUGUGAAGAAGGUCUUCGGAUUGUAAAGCACUUUUAGUUGGGAGGAAGGGCAGUAAGUUAAUACCUUGCUGUUUUGACGGUACCAACAGAAUAAGCACCGGCUAACUUCGUG